AUUAUUUCCCUUUAAUGCCAGCAGAUCAGUAAUUUGUAUAGAAAAUAUUAUACGAAUCAUAAUUACACAAUAACUUUGUCUUAGAAGACAAAGCUACAAUAACUUUGUCUUAGAAGACAAAGCUAUAAAAUAUACAUCUACAAAACAAUGGUUUGAACUAUUUAUUUAUAAAAUCUAUUUAUGAUAGAAGUUUCCAUUUCAAAAUUAGACCUUCUUAUUCAGUGACUCAUACUAUAGUAAGUCAUUUUUGUGUUUGAAACAAAUGACAAAGGUAUCAACUAACUGGAUGGUAAGUAUUACUUUUGAUUUCACAGCACUCACUUCAUACUAACAACAUUUCACUUGAGCAAUCUGGUAAAACAUUUUACCAGUUGAUCAGUUAGUUGGAGAAGAAAUCUAACUGCAAUUUGGUAAACUGUUUUGGCCAUUGCUAUUGUGAUACCCCAAAGGUCACUGGAUAAGCACUGUAAAAGAACAAGUGUGAACAACUUAACCACACGUUGAAUAAAAAAGAAAUAAUGGAUUGAGAACGUUAGCAUCAGUUAAGAAAUAUUAAAAAAAAAAGCCUUUACAGAAAAGAAACUAAUUUAUUAUGACUGAUGAUAGUAAGAUUAUUUUACAAAGUUAUAAAUAGUUUAUUUUAGUAAACACUAAUAUGUUAUUUAUGUAAUCAAAGUUAAUACAUGUGACAGGUGGUUAAAUGUGUGAUGACAAUAACACCUUAACAGAAAUCUCAAUCCAUCAUAUAUAAUUUAAAUCCAUUUGAAAAAAACCUUCCUGGAAAAAAAAAUGCCAAUAGAUCUGAAAUGUAUUUUUGAAUGGGGUUGUUUCAAUAGACUUUUGUCACUAACAAAAUAAUUUUAUUAUUAGAUUACUGAUGACUGUUAUUGCAAAUAGAAUAUUUCAGUGGGGAUUUAGGAUUUAGCUCCUCCACCCCCCCCCCCCCCCCUUUUCUGGGAAAAUUUUUGUUGAUUAUAUAGGGAAUCACGGAAGCUUGACCGGAGCAGGCUCCCUUUUAGGCAGUCAGUGGACCCCCACUCUCUGGAUCUGCCACUACUUUUUGUGUGGAAUAAAGGCUUAGUAAACUAAGUGUUAUUCUGUAAGGGAAAAUUUAUAGUCGUGACUCAUUGUGACAAGGCCAAUGAAACAAAGAAAAAAAUAAUUUGGAAAAUAUUUUUUCUAAAUACGAACAAGGACACCUUAAAGUUUACGAUGUUGAUAAAAAGUCUUGAAUUUUGUAUCUUCAUUUUUUAACACUGAAUCAUGUGAUCAAAAUGUAAAUUAAAUUGUUAAAAAUGUUGUAUCCUGUAUGAAGACUUCACUUUUGAUGACAUUCCAUAAAGAGGUUGUGAGCCUGAUAUUUCAGUUUGUUAUUUUCUAUGUUAGUUAUAUUAUUAUCAUGGUAAUGUCUUCAUACAUUUUAUGUGUAUUUAGUAUCAUAGAAAGUUUUUGAGGUUUAGUUUUUGUCACAUUAAUGUGUGAGAAGGUCCAUUUUAUUACAGUAAUUUAGAAACCUGUGAUAGGACUUGGCUCAUUUCUGAUAUUAUACAAACAUAUUAAUUUUUAUAUUGCUGUGAAUAUAUUUUUAGCAUUUUAGAAAUUUGUAGAAUCAGGUUAUAAAUAUUUUAUGUGCAAUACAAAUUUUAAAUUUUUGUACAUAACAGUUGCUCUCUUUUAAAUAAUUUCUUCUUAUCCAAGUAGCAAUGAUUAAAAUAUUAACUGUGGAUUCAUUUAUUUUUUUCGUUGUUAUCAAUUUUUGUAGAUUGAGUAAAACUUGCAUGUUCGUGGAUUAAGUAAAACUUGCAUGUUCGUGGAUAUUUUAUUCAUGGUUUUGCCAAAAUCUGCAUAUUACCUAAUAGAAAAUUUGUAAUUCAUUGAAUAUUUUUUUUUUUUUUUGUGUUUCACCUGUACCCAUGAAAGCCACGAAAAUUGUUAUCUCACGAAUAAUAAUGAAUCCACAGUAAUAUAUAUAUAUGUAAGUUUCAGAGAGUUAUUACAAACCUCAGAAUAUGCUGUUUUCUAUGUUUACAUAGAUAUGGUUGUAUAUUGCUGUAUAGAAAGGUUGUAUUGAAAAAUUAAGAUUGUUAGAAUAUUUAUAUGCUAAGACAGAAUUGUUAACAGAAUUUUACUUUAUAUAUACAACUUUUGAAGACAGUACACUUCAAAUAUUCUUAACUGUUAUAAGAUUGGAUAAUUAAAAAGAAAAUCAUGUGCGAUAUAAAAGGUGCUACAUGCUAUAUUCUAUAUACAUUAUUCUGUAUAUAUCACAUUAUCUAAUUACAAGUAAAUUAAAUCCAG
rnacentral:lncRNA from 1 species